ACAGGUGCUGCAUGGCUGUCGUCAGCUCGUGUCGUGAGAUGUUGGGUUAAGUCCCGCAACGAGCGCAACCCUUUUCCUUAUUUGCCCAGCGGGUCAUGCCGGGAACUUUAAGGAUACUGCCAGUGACAAACUGGAGGAAGGCGGGGACGACGUCAAGUCAUCAUGGCCCUUACGGCCAGGGCUACACACGUGCUACAAUGGUCGGUACAAAGGGUUGCUACCUCGCGAGAGGAUGCUAAUCUCAAAAAGCCGAUCGUAGUCCGGAUCGCAGUCUGCAACUCGACUGCGUGAAGUCGGAAUCGCUAGUAAUCGCGGAUCAGAAUGCCGCGGUGAAUACGUUCCCGGGCCUUGUACACACCGCCCGUCACACCAUGGGAGUUUGUUGCACCAGAAGUAGGUAGUCUAACCGCAAGGAGGACGCUUACCACGGUGUGGCCGAUGACUGGGGUG
rnacentral:rRNA from 1 species